UAUAGGCACUGAACUAGGGACUGGGAUACAAAUUUGAUGAAGACAUGGUUCAUACCCUAGAAGGACUCAGAAUGGGGGGUGGAGUCAUGGACUGUUCUUCAUUUUCAGUAUGCUGAAUGAUUUUUCUGAUCAUGGAUAAUCAGAAAAACAGUAAUGCUGAAGACUAGCUGAGAGUAGGCCUGGCAGGAACUGUGUGAGCUAAAGGAGAAGAGGAAGACAUGAGACUUGGACUGUGGUUAAAUGGGUCCCUCUCCUGGCUAAUACAUAUGGAAGCAGGCACCUUUUAAAGACAUCAGCUAAAGCAGAUUCAGUUUUCAGUUAAGGGACAUAUAGCAAUUAUGAUGUUCGGUGGAAGAACCAGAUUCUCUUGUCUUCCCUGAGACCCAGAGGCUGAAUAACCAGGAACUUCCAGAGAUACUUGGUUCUCAGAAAGAAAGAAAGCUGUCCAACAUGCCAUUGAGGAUACUGGCUUAAAAGAAGUCUGUUCUUACCAGGCUGAAGUAGAGCUCUUCUCUUCCUCAGACAGAUGCCUCAUUAGGCAAAAUUAAAAAUCUAGGAAAAUAGA
ensembl:lncRNA novel transcript